CAUGUGGGCUGGAAUUGUAUAUUUCCCUUCCCCAUGUCAGUUAGGCUCUAACAGUAUAGCAGGUUAGAUUUGGUUAUUAGUUUCUCCUGAGGCAGACCUUAUUAAGAACAGAGUAACCUGGCAUAUUUCCAAAUUGUUCCUUUUCCCUUCUUUUUGCAGGAAGCAGAGGGGCUUCUUUCUUCAGUGUUUACUGUGGGAACCUGGUCAACCUCCUGGAAGUAAAUCUCCCAAUAUUGCAGGGUACCCCCUUCACCAGCAGCUGGUUCUUUAUGAAGUUUUUAACUCUCAAGAGUUGGCCACACUGGGCCUUCAGCAACUCGUCAACUGCAGUUUCAGUUUUCCUACCAUGGGAUUUGUUCCUGGGGCAGCUUCAUUCUUGAGUGUCUGCUCUGGACAACUGAUGAGACAACCAUGCCUGUUAUGGUUACAUUACAUGGUACAGGAUACCAUCAUGUGUCUAUGGAAACUAUCAAUAGGAUCUGCAAGAUAAAGUCUGACUUGAAAAUUUUAUAGAGUGAGAACUGAUAAAAACUAAUGCAAUGCUGUACUGGGACCCCAUUAAAGAAGGUGAAAAUGUUUAUAUCUGCAUAAGCUUGCUUGGACUUUGCACAAUUCCUGAUUGAUAUGAUGUACAUAAUGACCAUUUGCUAAAUGGAAGAAUAAAUGAAGAUUUAAUGUUUAUACCUGCAAAUGUCAUAACAUAAUGGCCACAGAAUCUAACUAAAUGAAGGUUAAACUUGGCUUUACUACCUAUUAUGUGAUCCUGAGCAAAUUAUUUUACCUUUGGCUAAAUUUCAAUAUCAGAGAAAUGGAGAAAAUUAUUAUUGUGCCUACUUC
ensembl:lncRNA